UCAUUUUUCAAUUCAUUUUCAUGGUAUCAAAAUCAGCUAGUUACAAACAAUACAACCAAAAAGAUUAUAUUGCAACUUAUUAGUAGAAAAAAACGAAAGAC